GUGCGAAAUAUUACUGUAAACGGCCGCCCUAGCGUGAGGGUGCUAAGGUAGCGAAAUUCCUUGCCUUUUGAUUGUAGGCCUGCAUGAAUGGUUUAACGAGGGUUUAACUGUCUCUUGAUUUAAAAUUGAAAUUGUACUGAAGGUGAAGAUACCUUCAUUAAAAAGUCAGACAAAAAGACCCCGUGCAACUUUGAAAAUUAACUUUAUUCAGAAGUGAAAGAUUUUUAGGUGGGGCGCCUAGAAAGUAAAUCUAACCUUUCUGAACAUUUAGUUCUUUCCGGAUUUGACCCGAUUAUAUUCGAUCAUAGGAGAAGUUACGCCGGGGAUAACAGGCUAAUCCUUUAGUAGAGCUCGUAUUGGCUAAAGGGAUUGGCACCUCGAUGUUGAAUCAGGGAUGAUAGCUUCAAGGCGUAGAGGCUUUGAGAGUAGGUCUGUUCGACCUUUAAUACCCU
rnacentral:rRNA from 1 species